AUGCAGGAGGUGGCUGCGGCGGCCGGCAUGCUCGUCGCCAACUUCGCCACUGCGUCCAUCGGUCACCUCACCAAGCUGGCCACAGUGGGGCCUUCUAGAACCCCCAUCACCUCCGUGGACGUCAUCUGCCGCGACUCUAGGGCUCUGCCGCUCCUUUGUAACGGCCCCUGGGCUCUUUUAGGCGAUUUCAACUUUACUCUAAAGCCCAACGAGCGCUCGAAUGACAACUUUAACCAUUCCAAAGCCUUGCUCUUCUCGUCUACCUUAAACCAUCUUAAUCUUCAGGAGCUUCCCCUUCUCGAUAGGCUAUUUACUUGGUCUAACCAACAAGACUCCCCGACUUUGGUGCGCUUGGAUAGGGCUUUUGUCAACACAGCUUGGAGUUUCCUCCUCCCGGACUCCACACUCGCGUCCGCUUGCCGGUCAACUUCUGAUCAU
rnacentral:rRNA from 1 species